CUCGUGCCGCCUGUUAAUUUUUUGGUGAUGUGUACUGGUGUGCUUGACAUCUGGGGCAGUAGCUUCUUUCGGUGAUCUGGGGCCAAUUUAUAAGUUGCAAUUACCUGAUAAAGCGGCUUUACCCUCUUAUGGCUUUCUUCAUGAUUUGCACAACUAUGUAGCUGACAGUGAACUCACUGAAGAAAUCAAACAAGAAGGUGAACAAACAGAGAAUUGUGGAAAAGAGAAGGAGAAUGAUCAACAAAAGGCAAAUGUACAGAACGAAGAUCAUCCCCUCCUUGAUCUUGUUCCAAUAACACCUCCUUUUGAUCUUUCCAGUUCUCUGCUUAAACUGCCAAAUUUCUCAAGUGCAAAGCCACCAAGACCUUCCAAAGCUCGCAGUGGGAACUCCCGUUCAUCUACUUCAAAAGCUACUGCAACAUUGCAGUCUUGUAAAUCAUCCAAGGUUGGUGGUAGUGCUAUCGAUGAGGGGAUGCCAGAUAUUCUAAAAGAAGCUGAUUCUCCUAACAACCGUGUCAAGACUACUUCACCCAACGGAAAACGAGUCUCGCCGCCACAUAAUGCGCUCAGUAUUUCCCCGAACCGGAAAGGUGGUAGGAAAUUAAUAUUGAAGUCAAUUCCCUCAUUUCCAUACUUAUGGGAGAGUCAAACAGUGGUUCUGCAAUGAACGAUACCGAUAACACAUUCAGCGCAUCGCCUCUCAUUUUAGGACCAUCUUAAAGCUGUGAAGUCGACUAUGGGACCGACUUGUAGUCCAAAUAUGUGCCCCACAUCCUACGCCUGCAGCAAGGCUCGAGGUACUGUCAGAGAAUAGUAAGUUAGAUUUAAGAUGCAGUGAUCUAUAUUUGUAAAAUAUGUAGCCUCUCAAUAAUCUAUAUGUAAUAUGCUGUGUCUUGUAGCUGUUAUUUUUAUUGAAUUGUAGUAACACUAUAAAUCACCUCUUGAGGAGGUUCCACAAUUCCAUUCCAUGUUUCUCGUCG